rnacentral:rRNA from 1 species
UGGGGAAUCUUGCACAAUGGGGGAAACCCUGAUGCAGCGACGCCGCGUGAACGAUGAAGCCCUUCGGGGUGUAAAGUUCUUUCGGCAGGAACGAUAAUGACGGUACCUGAAGAAGAAGCUGCGGCUAACUACGUGCCAGCAGCCGCGGUAAUACGUAGGCAGCAAACGUUGUUCGGAGUUACUGGGCGUAAAGAGUACGUAGGCGGUUUGCCAAGUUUGGUGUGAAAUCUCCUGGCUUAACUGGGAGGGUGCGCCGAAUACUGGCAGACUUGAGUAUUGGAGAGGAAAGCGGAAUUCCUGGUGUAGCGGUGAAAUGCGUAGAUAUCAGGAGGAACACCGGUGGUGUAGACGGCUUUCUGGACAAUCACUGACGCUGAGGUACGAAAGCGUGGGUAGCAAACAGGAUUAGAUACCCUGGUAGUCCCUGAGCGGGCUGGCAAGGCGCAU